GUGUGUCGUAUAAUAUAAAUCAGAAUUAUUUGCUCGAUAAAGAAUUAGUAUUAUUGCAUUAAUUAAUUAAAUCCAAGGUGUCAAGUUGAGAAACGAUUGAUAACGGGAAGAGAGUGCAUAGUAAACAAUUGUGAAUACGGAUUUUAGUGCCAGAUUGUAAACCAUUAGAGGAAAUAGAAUUUUAAAGUGUAUGAGGGUCAACCGCCAGUUCUUCAUUAUUAUAUAUACAACGGUGCAAUAUGUGUAAUUCCUCGUCAGUAUUUUUAUCGAUUUCUCCAUUACGUAUGCCCACGCACCCUACUUCUGGCUCUGACUGAAAUUCGGGCGCAAAGGACAGUUUUGUUCAUGCUGUAAAUAGAGUUAUUUUCACAUACGUAUGUAAUUAUUGAGGCUUACGUGACAAUUUCAACGUUGUUACUACUUGCAAAUUAUGAACGAAGAGUCAAUUUUGUCUCAGAAUGGUGCCUACGAUCAGUUGUGCUGUGUAAAAAUUGCACAUGUAUACAUUCGGCAAAUUUCUUUAGAAACGAUUGAAAUGUGAUCAUUGUUGCAAAGAGCGAAAUUUACUGUUGCAACUGCAUGCCUUGUUUCAUAAGUUACAGGGUGGUCCAUCAGGAGAAGAGGCCCCACAAAUGUCUGCCUUACUGGAACAUAUAUAAGCAUACACACAACUCGGCUAUGGUGAUGAUUCACAAGUGCUAACAUUGUCCCCAACAGUCAAUGGGCCGAUUUUACUUGCGUUGGAAACCUACUGUUCAUGCGCACCUUUAGAGAGCUAGUCAAGUACAGAAUAAAACUAAUGGAAUAAGAUGCCAUGUACACUUUAAUUACAGUUACUUCCUGGAAAGUUAUCUGCAGGACCUUGUGAAUGCCGGCAUGUCUACAAGCAAGUGUAACUGACACAUGUAUGAAGAAACGAUAAUAUUGAAAUAGUAUGUGGUACAAAACAAGAGCAGGUGACACAAACCACUGUAACAUCACUAUUCUGUACAUAAGAAUGGCUCAUAAAAUGAGCUAUGUGCUUAAGUCUAAGUUUUGUACACUUUGAUGCAAUUUUUUUUUUUUUUUUUUAAAUAUCAAUAAUUACAAACACUUCAUGCUGUCCUUCAUUAUCAUGAACUGCAUGUUUGAAUAGGUUAUUGCUUUCACUUCUGUGCCCUGUG